AAACGCUGAAGGCAUCUAAGCGUGAAGCCCCCCUUAAGAUGAGAUAUCCCAUUCGUUAAGAAGUAAACCCCCUUGAAGACGACGAGGUAGAUAGGGCAGAGGUGGAAGUGUGGCAACACAUGGAGCUGACUGUUACUAAUCGGGUGAGGGCUUGACCAAAA
rnacentral:rRNA from 1 species